rfam:Ailuropoda melanoleuca scaffold2754_15, whole genome shotgun sequence.
CCAAAGGCUCUUUUCAGAGCCACCCACAGCAGCACGCGGAAGGAG